rnacentral:tRNA from 1 species
GCGAGGGUUGCCGAGCCAGGUCAAAGGCGCAGGGCUUAGGACCCUGUCACGAAGGUGUUCGAGCGUUCGAAUCGCUCCCCUCGCA